rnacentral:tRNA from 1 species
CAAAUUAGAGCUUGAUUAAGCAUUUUAGUUACAUUAAAAAGAUAGUUUGUAAAAACUUAAUUUGA